CAGGAAAACUUGCAUGGCGAUCCACCCCCUACACCUAUGAGGUUGAAAUUCAUUUUUAAAACUGUUCAAGGUGAAACCAGCUAUUUCCCUGGUAGAGUGAUAGUUAGGUGUAGAAUGGGAUUUGCUAUCGAAAAUUUGAGAAAUUCCCUUGAAAGGAUAGAACCCGACGAAGUAGUUCGUCCCUUUUUGCGUAAGGCUUGCCUAGAUCAAUUCCUUGACAUAAAUGUUGAUUGUUGGAAAAAUAGCUUUCACGGUCUCUUGUGUCAUUAUUUGUUGCUGAGGGAAAUCAAGACAAAGAAAAAAAAAUGAAAUGUCAUUUUUGACUUGCAACAAACCUGUCCGCUUUGGAAUGAAAGAAUUUUGUCUUUUUACUGGAUUGAAUUGUCGUCCUUUUCCAAGUGAGAGCGAGUGCUAUCAAGUAUAUCCGCGUGGUUUGAGUUUUGUGUGUAGAGUGAAGGAAUAUUCUUUUUCAUUAAAGGGGGACGAUGAUGAUAAAAAGAAUAGUUUGGUAGGUGAAGAUCUAUUACAGAUUUUGAAUGCGAGAACAAGGUUAUUCAAAAGAGCCGAGAAAAAUGGUAUUAUUGCCUUAUACACAAUUCAUUCAGUCUUAUUAGCUGCAGAGGAUGCUAAGCAAAUGUCUGAAGAAUACCUAGCGUGGGUAACAAAUCCAACAUUCUUUGCGGCAUAUCCUUAGGGUCGAGUGUGCUUUGAGUUCACACUUAAUAGUUUAAGGAAGGACCUUCACGAAAAGGCAAACAAAUGGAAGCAAAAUUCAGAAACAACGGAGAAGAAGAAACCACAAUCAUACACUAUAAGAGGCUUCACUGAUGCUUUUCUGGUGUAGGCUUAUGAAGCGAUAGAUGUGUUUGGAGCCAAUCUUGGAAAGAAGUCUUUGAUUUUGAAUAAUGCAAUACCCCGAAUACCUCGAGGGCAUUCAGAAAAAAACUCCACAACACUUGCGUUACGAUUGGUAUGAUAAGUUGAUAAGUGAAAAUGAGGUGCACUGUAUACCAAUAAUGAACCAUCUAAGAAGGAAGCUAAAAGUAAAUGGGUGAAGCUCUUCGAAGAAUUGGUGGAUGAGAAGGAUGAAACUAUUAAUGAGUUAGUAAGCGAGCUGGAUAAAAUAGAUGUUUUAGGUCCUCUUGAUGGCAUAGAUGAGCAGCAGCAGCAACAACAACAACAACAAUAAGGACAUGACCAACAGCAUGAGAUUGAACAAAUGCAUGUGGUUAACAAAGAAGCUGGUGUUGAGCAGAUGCAAGUGGUUAAUGAAGAGGAUU